rnacentral:rRNA from 1 species
AGUGAACGCUGGCGGUAGGCCUAACACAUGCAAGUCGAACGGCAGCACAGUAAGAGCUUGCUCUUACGGGUGGCGAGUGGCGGACGGGUGAGGAAUACAUCGGAAUCUACUUUUUCGUGGGGGCUAACGUAGGGAAACUUACGCUAAUACCGCAUACGACCUACGGGUGAAAGCAGGGGAUCUUCGGACCUUGCGCGAUUGAAUGAGCCGAUGUCGGAUUAGCUAGUUGGCGGGGUAAAGGCCCACCAAGGCGACGAUCCGUAGCUGGUCUGAGAGGAUGAUCAGCGACACUGGAACUGAGACACGGUCCAGACUCCUACGGGAGGCAGCAGUGGGGAAUAUUGGACAAUGGGCGCAAGCCUGAUCCAGCCAGACCGCGUGGGUGAAGAAGGCCUUCGGGUUGUAAAGCCCUUUUGUUGGGAAAGAAAAGCAGCAGGUUAAUACCCCGCUGUUCUGACGGUACCCAAAGAAUAAGCACCGGCUAACUUCGUG